rnacentral:rRNA from 1 species
GUGGGGAAUAUUGGACAAUGGGCGCAAGCCUGAUCCAGCCAUGCCGCGUGAGUGAUGAAGGCCCUAGGGUUGUAAAGCUCUUUCACCGGAGAAGAUAAUGACGGUAUCCGGAGAAGAAGCCCCGGCUAACUUCGUGCCAGCAGCCGCGGUAAUACGAAGGGGGCUAGCGUUGUUCGGAAUUACUGGGCGUAAAGCGCACGUAGGCGGACAUUUAAGUCAGGGGUGAAAUCCCGGGGCUCAACCCCGGAACUGCCUUUGAUACUGGGUGUCUGGAGUAUGGAAGAGGUAAGUGGAAUUCCGAGUGUAGAGGUGAAAUUCGUAGAUAUUCGGAGGAACACCAGUGGCGAAGGCGGCUUACUGGUCCAUUACUGACGCUGAGGUGCGAAAGCGUGGGGAGCAAACAGGAUUAGAAACCCGUGUAGUCC